rnacentral:rRNA from 1 species
AUUGAACGCUGGCGGCAGGCCUAACACAUGCAAGUCGAGCGAGCGGCGGACGGGUGAGUAAUGUCUGGGGAUCUGCCUGAUGGAGGGGGAUAACUACUGGAAACGGUAGCUAAUACCGCAUACCAUCGGAUGUGCCCAGAUGGGAUUAGCUAGUAGGUGAGGUAAUGGCUCACCUAGGCGACGAUCCCUAGCUGGUCUGAGAGGAUGAUCAGCCACACUGGAACUGAGACACGGUCCAGACUCCUACGGGAGGCAGCAGUGGGGAAUAUUGCACAAUGGGCGCAAGCCUGAUGCAGCCAUGCCGCGUGUAUGAAGAAGGCCCUAGGGUUGUAAAGCACUUUCAGUGGGGAGGCGUUACCGACAGAAGAAGCACCGGCUAACUCCGUGCCAGCAGCCGCGGUAAUUC